rnacentral:rRNA from 1 species
UUCGAGGUGGCGGACGGGUGAGUAACGCGGUAGGUAACCUGCCUUACACAGGGGGAUAACACCUGGAAACAGGUGCUAAUACCGCAUAAGCGCACAGGGCCGCAUGGCCCGGUGUGAAAAACUCCGGUGGUGUAAGAUGGACCCGCGUCUGAUUAGCUUGUUGGCGGGGUAGGGGCCCACCAAGGCGACGAUCAGUAGCCGGCCUGAGAGGGUGGACGGCCACAUUGGGACUGAGACACGGCCCAAACUCCUACGGAAGGCAGCAG